rnacentral:rRNA from 1 species
GACGAACGCUGGCGGCGUGCUUAACACAUGCAAGUCGAACGGAAAGGCCCUGCUUGCAGGGUACUCGAGUGGCGAACGGGUGAGUAACACGUGGGUGAUCUGCCCUGCACUUCGGGAUAAGCCUGGGAAACUGGGUCUAAUACCGGAUAGGAGCCAUUUUUAGUGUGAUGGUUGGAAAGUUUUUUCGGUGUAGGAUGAGCUCGCGGCCUAUCUGCUUGUUUGUGGGGUAAUGGCCUACCAAGGAGGCGACGGGUAGCCGGCCUGAGAGGGUGGACGGCCACAUUGGGACUGGGAUACGGCCCAGACUCCUACGGGAGGCCGCAGUGGGGAAUAUUGCACAAUGGGCGCAAGCCUGAUGCAGCGACGCCGCGUGGGGGAUGACGGCCUUCGGGUUGGAAACUCCUUUCGCUAGGGACGAAGCUUUUUGUGACGGUACCUAGAUAAGAAGCACCGGCUAACUACGUG